CUUCUGGCAUGGAGCUCAGCUGGGAAGCUGGAUCCCAUUCAACUCCACCUGCACCUGCAAACAAACAUGGAGCAGCUUCUGUCAGACACGGCCAGGUACUUGUUUAGACUGGAGUGACAGCAUUGCUCCACAGCACUCUACUCUCCCUGCUGCGCUGGAAGCAUCUGGCAAAUAGUUGCUGCAGCAGCACCGUGCCAGUCCAAAAAGGACUCAUGUGCGGAACUGUCUGGAGAAGGGAAGGGGGUAGAAGGGGAAGAUCUAAAGGCCCUUUCCUGUGGGAUUGCCCUGACACUCGUGGACCAGAUUAUGCUGAGGCUUUGGCAAGACACUGCUUAUAGGCAUAGCUCUAAUCAAGUGGUGAUGAGAAACAUUCCCAUGGCGUCUUGUAAUCUCUCUCUCCCUUAGGGACCUUCAGUGACUGAAAGGGGCUCUGGUGACAACAUGGCACCUAGACCUGGGUCGAAAGUUGCAAAGUUGCAGAGGGGCCAGGUAGGCAGUUGGCUGGCACUCAGCAGCUUUCCAGAUACUCUCUCUGGGCCACGUGAAACAAUCCUCAGAGACAGCAUGGAAGAGCAUUUGGGUUUUCUUACUGGGGAGAUCUCUGAUGUACAGAGACCAAGCCAAAUUUGAAAAGAAAGACUUACGACUGAUCUGCGUAUGGCCUUUAAGGCACAAAGAGACUUGAAAGUACUUUGGAGGUUCUUACGUACCUGAAUACACUACUACAGCACUAAUUUUUCUGCCUUCAAGGAAACGGGUACUCACAACUUACCUCUGGGUUUCCCCUGAGGCACAAAAGCAAUAUUCACCCAGUCAUUUGGGUAAAGAGCGCCAAUGUCAUCAUCUAGAAUCAAGAACAGAUGAGAGAUGUUCCUAUUGCAUGUUGUGAUUUCCUUUUCCCUGACUGACUGGGGAUGGGUCAGGUAAUGGGAUGGGAGACUCAGGCCGUGAUUGCCAAAGCUGCAGAGUGGCCAGGGUGACCUGGAGCCUGGCACUCGGCAGCUUUACAAAUGCUCUCUCCAGGCCACGUGCAACACCCCUCCGGGACCGCAUGGAAGAGCCCACCAGGGCUUUCUUACAGGGAGAUCCCUGCUGUAUCUGCCACUGAAGCAUUGGAGGAAACGAUGCCUGUUUCUUCCUCUGGGCUCCAGCCGGGGGUCUUUGUUGGGAACUGGGAUUCGUCUGUGGAGAGCACCAGGAAGCCAGAGCAGAAAUGCUCACGCUUUUCCCAGCACACUUCUCCAGAGCUCUCCCCCAGGACAACCCCAGGGUGAAGGCCAUGCUCAGCCAGUGGCAGAGCCAUGGCCCAGCGUGGCUGGAGCCAGCCCUGGGGACCACUGCUUCCACACAUUCUCAGCCAGCUCCUGGGGUGCUGCCUUCUCCCCCUCUCAGCACACCCCCAUGGAAGGCAGCUCCAGGGCAGCGUGGCACAGGGCAACAGGGACAACAGCCUGGGCCUCUCGCCCCCAGUGCCACUCAGUUUUGGCCCCAUCUCUGCCCACCCACCUGUUCCUGAUGCUCGCCACGGAGCAGCACAAGUCUUCUGGGAACACAUGGCCAUCAGUAGGAGGAGGAGAGCAAGGCGGGUGGGGGCCGUGGCCCCCCACACUCGUGCCAUGCUGCCACCGCUACUGCUGCAGCCACAGCAAGUGCUGCUGUAGGGACAGGUACAGAAUGCCUGGGGCACACACUGAGCAUUGUGACCUCACGGCACAACACGGGGCACUGUGACCUCACGUCCCCACGAUGCAGAUCUGUUCUGCCACGAGGGCCAGGUUCCCGGUGGGCUUGCUGUGUGCACUGUCAUGGUGGGUGAGGAUUGCCAGUCAUGUAGAGCGGCAGGAAACCACAGCUGAGAUUUACACAUUUACAUCAUGGAAACAAAGUCGUGGAGAGGCUUGGCUGGCAAGGGACAUUCCCACCAGACCCAGAGAUGCUGUCAAAGGAUGAAGAAAAUCACCCUAAUGUUGUUUUUACUGCUUCAUACAAAUCAAGACAUUUAUUUUGACUUGCAGUGGCAUCAGAGAAGCAGUUUCUUCAGUGACAUCAUAUUUGUUAUCACAGUCUCUAACAAAAAUGGCAAAUUGAGCCAUAUCUGUAGUAUCAAUACUUUCGUCAAUUGCCAGAGCAUUUUGAUAGACCGAUUGAUACAUUUUCCUAUUUCUUCAGUCUGCCUGGCUCUAGUUUGUUGAGACAGAAAAUUUUAGAAAAAUCCGGUUUUUUUUAUUUUCUUCUUUUCAGGACAAAUUAUAUCUGCCAUGCCAACUUGGGUCAAAAUAUGUCACAAACUCAAUUUUGGAGUGUGAGUGUGUCACAAUUGCUGUUAGAAUAUGUCAUUAACUCUAUUCUGGAGUGUGAGAACGUCAUAGAUUGGGCCAAAAUAUGUGCAUAAACCCAAUUUCUGAAAGUGAGAACUGCACAACUCGUGUCAAAAUGGGUCAUAAAUCCAACUCCGGAGUAUGUGAAGGUCACAGUUUGGGUCAAAAUAUGUCACUAAUUGCAUUUCAGAGACCGAGAACAUCACAGCUUGACUCAAGAUACAUCAUUAACUCAAUUUUGGAGGGUGAGAAUGUCACAAUUUGGGUCAAAAUACAGCAUUAAUCCUAUUCCAGAGGAUGAGAACGUCACAGUUACUUUUAUUCUACCCAGGGUCUGCAGGCCUUUUUCCACUUGCACACUGCACUCACUUGUCCAAUGCAUGACACAAAGCCCAAGUGAAACACCUGCUUGCAAAACAAGUCUUGGCCAAAUCAAGAUAAACUACCAAGGUUAGCUCUCUCUACAAAACAAGUUAUUUGUGACUACAGCCACAAAUAUCAGUUCUCUUAAAACUCUCAGAAUUCUUUCUUCCACCCCAGGAUUGUUCUUCAAUCACGAGCCUUUAGGUCCCUGGCAAAAUCCCCCCAAAACAUCACCCCGAGAAUGUCACCCCAACGCUACUCCCUG
ensembl:lncRNA